CUACGAUCAAAUCAUGGUGGAAAGACUUGUUCUUGUUCGAUUACCGAAGUUAAGCAGCGUCGAGCCCGGUCAGUGCUUAGACGGGAGACUGCUUGGGAAAGUCGGCUACUGUA